ensembl:lncRNA
AUGAGGCACAGACUCCUGAAGGAGGCAGAUGAGGUACAGACUACAGGUCGACACUGUUGCACGCUGAUGAAUAAAGGACCUGCGACUAAAUUAGAUAAUUGUGUUUUCAACAAACGGAUGCAGCCGGCUACACAAUGGCAAAAGUUGAAGCCAAGCAUGCUUCAGUCUUUUCACCUGACAACUGCACUUAAGGCUCAGGAACAGAACGCCACGCUAAGAGGGGAGACGUGAAGAGCCGAGUCAGGAGAACAUGCCAUCAAGAGAUGGAGUUGGCAGCUGACCAGAAGCUUUCGGAGAGCCUCUCUCUCCUCCUGUUCACUGUCCCUCUCAGGCACCAGAUCGACAAACAGCCCGAGUUCUGACAGCUGUCAUACAGAAUAAUGACAUAUCUGUGCACCUCUGAGUUGGCAAAAUAACAAAAAAAAUUAAUAAAUAAAAAACACACACAAACA